AACUGAGGAGCAUCACACCAAAUUCUGGCCCUGUGCAUAAGCAGUCUCUGUGGCCUCUGGAAACACAGCAAUGACUCGUUAAAUCACAAUUUAUACGCCUUCCUCCUUUCCCUCCACCUCUCAAUGACAAAGUCAGCUCAAAUACUGUGUCACAAACAUUAAUAUGACUUGUUUGAAACGUGCACAUGUAACGUGUUUGGGGUUUGCAGAAAUGUACAAUGCCAUUUUCUUCUGCCGACUGAGCUGCAGUCACAAGUUUUAUGUUGUUUUUGUUUUCUUCUUUUUAAUUUUUCAGUCACAUAAAAAAAAUCAACUAACUGCUGUUUACAAAUUAGAGAAUGCUUUUACCACAAAAUUUCAACACAGUGACUUGUUUAAAUAAAAACAGAUAAAAAUAACUCUUCAGAGCUGUAGUGACCGUUGAGAACAGUGAUGUCAUGUCCUCUGUAUACUUUCGGGCAAUUUGAGGCCCAGUUUACACGACAAUGUUUCACCCGAAAACAUUUAUACGACAAAUGUAAAAAAAAAAACUCUGUGUUUACAAUUAGAACGCUGGAAGGACUGAAAACACUGUAGUAUCCAUGCCAGGCCAGUAGUCGGCGAUGCAACUUUGUAGAGGCACACCCCACGUGACCAUUACCAGUUCCUCCACAGACCGGAAGAAAUACAGCCAGCCACAAAUAAACAAAACAGAAGAUGGAGAAACACAGAACAGUAUGGAUGCUAAACAUCAGCAGCAGAAGCACAACACGGUAGUCCGCCAUUGUUACUGUUGUCGUCUGGUUCGCGCAUGGCAAUUAGAAUAAGUGUAAUGCGCAUGCACAAAGCGGCGCAUGACGUGAGCGUUCUAACUGAAAACUACGGCGUACCCGUUGACAUGGAGACGAUGGCUGUUAUGUUUGAGAAAAAUUCCACUCUGGAGGCCGUAUUCAAAAGUUUCCGUUUAAGGUCGUCUGAGGCCAUGUUUACAUGAAAACAUUCCGCUGAAAAUGGUAUUGUUUCUCAUUUUCAUUUUGAAAAAAGUUCCGCGUUCAGAUGACAAUAUUUUGAUAACAAUAGCUGUGCACAGAGAUCUGCAAAAAUGACCAAAAACGCUGCAGUAUACAUACCAGGCCAGUAGAUGGCGGUGUGACUUCGCAAUGAAACAACACACGCACGCGCGUCCUUCUACAGAGCAGUGAUGUAUAAACAAACAAAAUGGCAACCACACGAAAAUUUGUCUGGAUGGACGACGAGGUGGAGCUGCUACAGUAAAUCUACACUUUGCUGGAGAAGCGUUGAUAAAUUCAACAGGGUGAGCAGCACAAACAGAGCUUGGGAGUCCGCCAUUGAUGUUGUGAUGGUCGACUUCUCGUACGUGCCUAUACUGCAAAAACUCAAAAUCUUACCAAGAAUAUUUGUCUUAUUUCUAGACAAAAUGUCUCAUUUCUAGUCAAAACAAAUCUAUCCAUUGAGUGUUUUUUUUUCUUAUUACAAGCAAAAAAAACUUACUCCAUGGACAAAUUUUUCUACUUAUUCCAAGUGAAAAUUUGCUUGAAACAAGUGAAAAUUGUCUUAAAACAAGUUACUUUUUUGUGAUGAGUCUUAUUUUAAGUGUAAUGAGAUUGUUUUGUCUAGAAAUAAGUCAAAUAUUCUUGGUAAAAUUGUAAGUUUUUGCAGUGUAGUGACUGCAACCGUAAUGCGCAUGUAAGAAAAGUCUCCGUUUUCAGAAAUCAGACAAGACCGAAGUCAUCGUAUUUGGUCCACAGAAACAAAGAGAAAGUGUCAGCAGUCACCUCCAGUCUCUCUCUCUAAAACCUACAAAUCAGGUUAGAAAUCUCGGGGUAAUAAUGGACUCAGACUUGAACUUUAACAGCCACAUCAAAUCAAUAACAGCAGCUUUUUACCAUCUAAAAAACAUUGCCAAAAUUAAAGGUAUAGUGUCUAAACCUGACUUGGAGAGACUUAUCCAUGCAUUUGUCUCUAGUAGGUUAGACUACUGUAACGGCCUGCUCACUGACCUCUCCAAACGGGCUGUAAGACAGCUGCAGUACAUCCAGAAUGCUGCUGCUCGGGUCCUGACCAGAACCAGGAAGUACGAGCACAUUAGUCCUGUGCUCAGGUCUCUGCACUGGCUUCCUGUGGCUCAGAGAAUAGACUUUAAGCAGCUCUGCUUGUGUACAAGUCUCUCCACGGCCUAGCACCAAAGCACAUCUCUGACAUGUUAGUGCCAUAUGAACCAUCUUGGACUCUGAGGACCUCAGGGACCGGCCUCCUGCUGGUGCCCAGAGUCAGGACUAAACAUGGGGAAUCAGGAUUCCAGUUUUAUGCAGCUAAAAUCUGGAACAGUCUUUCUGAAGAUGUGAGACAGGCCUCUACUCUGACAAUGUUCAAAUCUAGGCUCAAAACAGCUCUAUUUCACUGUGCAUAUGACUGAAAGGAUCUUAUCUGCACUCUUCUCUUUUAAAGUUCAUUUUAUAAUGAUUAUUUAUGUUUUUAUUUUGUAUUGUGAUUUUAAUGCAUUUUCUUGUUCUGUAAAGCACUUUGAAUUACUUUGUGUACGAAUUGUGCUCUACAAAUAAACUUGCCUUGCCUUGCCAGAGGAACUGCAUAUUGCGAGUUUACAUGACAACGGAGACGGUGCUGUUUCCAAAAUAUUGCACUCUGGAAACCGUUUUCAAGACAUUGCGUUUUCAGGCCCCUAAAACGCCGCUGUUGUGUAAACGAUCAGCCAAAACACAACUAAAGUUUACCAUUUUCAGUUGAAAUUGUCGUCUUAUAAACGGGACCUAAAAUGCCGCUGUUGUGUAAACGAUCAGCCAAAAUGUAGCAAAACCUUUGCAUUUCAUCCUAAAACCAUUGUCGUAUAAACUGGCCCUGAGAGUUUUAUCAACCUUGUUGGGAAUAGAAUGAUUUUAUGUGUUUUACUAUCAGUUGUGUUUCACUAUAUAAGUUUUAGAUGUGUGAACAACGAGAAUACUGAGAUGAUUUCAGCUGAUCUGAAUGUGUUUGCUUUGCAGAAGUGGAGAAGUACAGGAGAGGAAGAGACAUGAAGUCUGAGGAGCACAUACUGCAAUGCUUAGAUAAUUAGUUUGAUAUAUGGUAAAAAGAAUAGAAAGUGAUGUACAGAUAGUAAGGUACAGCACGUGUAGGGAGUUGUGUUGUUCUCUUGUCUUUCAAAACAGGAACCACGCCCCCACCGCCAGCGGGAAGGAGUCAGAUUAACACGAGGCAGGGGCGUGGUGUGGUGAAGGAGGAAGUGGAACUGCCAAUGAGAAGAGGACAACGCCUUGCGUGCACAAUGACACUCUGUUACGCUCAAAUAUACUGGGUCAGGGAAAGGACAGGAGGUCAGACUUCGUGAACUGACACACCUUUGUUGUUCGUCAGGGACGUGCAGUUGAGACCCAGAGCUCUGUAAUUUUAUUCCUUUACUGCUUAAUAAACUACAUUAACUGAGACCGAAUAUCUUCUCCUAUUGCUUCAUUAAAGAACACGCAGGACUGAGCUCACACAUAGCACAUUAGAGAGUAGGAUGAGACUCUUAGUCCAACAAUUUGGUGACCCACGUGAUGAAGACGGAGAAGUGAUGGAAUAAAGAUUAUUCAGCGGAGGACGACAGUAUCGUGACAACACUUGGCCGGCCUGAGAAAAAGGGCCUCCAGUGGUGGCACCGUGACCUGCGAUCUCAACCCUAGAAAAUGACAACAACAACAACAACAACAACAACAACAAUAACCAGGUAUGCACAGACGUCCAUAAAUCCAGCUGCUUCUCGACAGGCAUAAACCGGGUCACCAGUGAAUGCAUGGACACCGUAGAUCUUGCCGUGGUACACCACUCCUCCACCAGAGUCGCCCUGUGAGAGAGAUAUUGUGU